GCAGUGGUUGUUCAGUGGUAGAAUUCUUGCUUUCCGUGAGGGAGAUCUAGGUUUGAUUCCCGGCCAAUGCA
rnacentral:tRNA from 1 species